rnacentral:rRNA from 1 species
UGUAAGCGUAUACCAAAGUUGUUGCAGUUAAAACGCUCGUAGUCGGAAUUUGGCAGUUCCGGAUGUGUGCACGUCGUGUGCGCACUUCGCGGGGAUUGCUUUUGUGGUCUUGCGUAGGAUGAGGCACUUUUAUUAGUGAACGUCCUCACGCAACCACUUUUUACUGGGAGAAAAUCAGAGUGCUCAAAGCAGGCAUUUGCCGUGAAUGUAUUAGCAUGGAAUAAUAGAAUAGGACUUGGUUCUAUUUUGUUGGUUUGUUGGGACUGAGUAAUGAUUAAGAGGGACAGUUGGGGGCAUUUGUAUUUCGGUGCUAGAGGUGAAAUUCUUAGAUUACCGAAAGACAAACUGCUGCGAAAGCGUCUGCCAAGGAUGUUUUCAUUGA